GACGAACGCUGGCGGCGUGCCUAAUACAUGCAAGUAGAACGCUGAAGAAAGGAGCUUGCUUCUUUUGGAUGAGUUGCGAACAGGUGAGUAACGCGUAGGUAACCUGCCUUGUAGCGGGGGAUAACUAUUGGAAACGAUAGCUAAUACCGCAUAACAGCUUUUGACACAUGUUAGAAGCUUGAAAGAUGCAAUUGCAUCACUACGAGAUGGACCUGCGUUGUAUUAGCUAGUAGGUAGGGUAACGGCCUACCUAGGCGACGAUACAUAGCCGACCUGAGAGGGUGAUCGGCCACACUGGGACUGAGACACGGCCCAGACUCCUACGGGAGGCAGCAGUAGGGAAUCUUCGGCAAUGGGGGCAACCCUGACCGAGCAACGCCGCGUGAGUGAAGAAGGUUUUCGGAUCGUAAAGCUCUGUUGUAAGAGAAGAACGUGUGUGAGAGUGGAAAGUUCACACAGUGACGGUAACUUACCAGAAAGGGACGGCUAACUACGUGCCAGCAGCCGCGGUAAUACGUAGGUCCCGAGCGUUGUCCGGAUUUAUUGGGCGUAAAGCGAGCGCAGGCGGUUUAAUAAGUCUGAAGUUAAAGGCAGUGGCUUAACCAUUGUUCGCUUUGGAAACU
rnacentral:rRNA from 1 species